UACAGAGGGUGCAAGCGUUGUUCGGAAUUAUUGGGCGUAAAGCGCGUGUAGGCGGCUUUGCAAGUCGGGUGUGAAAGCCCUCAGCUCAACUGAGGAAGUGCGCCCGAAACUGCAGAGCUUGAGUACCGGAGAGGGUGGCGGAAUUCCCCAAGUAGAGGUGAAAUUCGUAGAUAUCGAGAGGAACACCGGUGGCGAAGGCGGCUAUCUGGACGAUGACUGACGCUGAGACGCGAAAGCGUGGGGAGCAGACAGG
rnacentral:rRNA from 1 species